GUGGGGAAUAUUGCACAAUGGGCGAAAGCCUGAUGCAGCAACGCCGCGUGAGGGACGACGGCCUUCGGGUUGUAAACCUCUUUUAGCAGGGAAGAAGCGAAAGUGACGGUACCUGCAGAAAAAGCGCCGGCUAACUACGUGCCAGCAGCCGCGGUAAUACGUAGGGCGCAAGCGUUAUCCGGAAUUAUUGGGCGUAAAGAGCUCGUAGGCGGUUUGUCGCGUCUGCUGUGAAAACCCGAGGCUCAACCUCGGGCCUGCAGUGGGUACGGGCAGACUAGAGUGCGGUAGGGGAGAUUGGAAUUCCUGGUGUAGCGGUAGAAUGCGCAGAUAUCAGGAGGAACACCGAUGGCGAAGGCAGAUCUCUGGGCCGUAACUGACGCUGAGGAGCGAAAGGGUGGGGAGCAAACAGGCUUAGAAACCCCGGUAGUCC
rnacentral:rRNA from 1 species